rnacentral:rRNA from 1 species
UACGUAGGGUGCAAGCGUUACUCGGAAUUACUGGGCGUAAAGCGUGCGCAGGCGGUUAUGCAAGUCAGAUGUGAAAUCCCCGGGCUUAACCUGGGAACUGCAUUUGUGACUGCAUAGCUGGAGUACGGCAGAGGGGGAUGGAAUUCCGCGUGUAGCAGUGAAAUGCGUAGAUAUGCGGAGGAACACCGAUGGCGAAGGCAGUCCCCUGGGCCUGUACUGACGCUCAUGCACGAAAGCGUGGGGAGCAAACAGG